GUUAAUGUUUAACAUGAAUUAAAGACAGAAGCAUGACUGGUUUUACCUUUUUCAGGGUGAAUGUGACUUGGCGAGCCUCCUGCAGGUUAUGGUUGCCAUGUUUGGAGAGUGCCCUCCUGUGUGUAUGAAACCGGGGUUUGGACAAUCUUCCUGUUGGCAGCAUUACAGACGAGAUGAGGGCUUUUGUCUGCUUUUAGCCAAAGAUGAUGGUCACCCUUUCCAAAAUGAAACCAACUGUUAACUCUCAGUUAUUUCUGCAAAUAUCUAUCCUAUUGUAAAUAAACAUUAAUAUAAAGGUUUGUGUAGUUUUAGCCUCCUCUGACCCAAACUUGAAUUUGGUGUUAUUUCAACGAGAAAAACAUGUCUAUCUAUUAUAGAUUAGUUGACUGUAAUUUACAGAAAAAAUAUAAAAUUUCUAUAAAAUGUUGUAAAAUAUUCUAAAUACAGAAAUGCAACCAAAACAUUAAUAAGUACAAUUUAAGUCAAUAUCAAGUGUCUAUAAAUUAUGACAUAAAGGUCUAAGUAGAAGAGAAUACAUUUUUAGAGUGCAAUGAGUCAAUGUCCACAUCGUGAACAUGGGGGAGAUCCUCCGAAUGGCUGGAUGCACUUAUGAGAACGUUGUUAAAACCACCGUGCUUCUCGCUGACAUCAAUGAUUUCUCAAAUGUCAAUGAAGUUUACAAGCAGUGUGAGUGUGUUGGCUUCCCCUCUAUAGAUAAGAGCUGUUGUACAACCCUGACCGCUGCGUGUCAGCACAAACUAGCUAUACCACAAGUCCCAUUUAUUUAGCAUAAGGAGCCUUUAGAUCUUCCCGCUUUGCCCAUCUUUCCUUAGUUUACUCCAUAUAUGUUUUUAUAUUCCCUACUUCUAAAUAAAGUGAUGUUCUGUCUGGAAGAGUUUUUAUGGCUCCAUGCUGAUGUGAGGAGAGAUACCACAUGUUGCAUAAGCCAGUUAAACACCGAAACCAGAGAUGAUUCAGUGUUACUGUAGGGUUAAUGACCUAAACAUAGGAAUUAAAGGCUGUCGCUAUCAGCUUAUAUUUUAAUUUCUAAACUCAAACAAAUUGACGAAUGAGAUUAUAUAUGGAUAUAUAAAUAUAAUAGAUAUAAAUUUAUACACCAACUUGCUUGGUCUAUGUUUAAUCAAAAGUUUAUUAUAUUUAUUUUUAAAGAUUUAAUUUAAUAGCAAAGAUUAUUUGUUAAUUCAGAAGAUCUAAAGAUCUUUGCCUGUUCAGUGAUCAAUGUACACCCACUCUGUGUUUAUUUCAAGAAAGAGUCAAGUUUAAGAAGGUUAAGAAAUUUAUUACUAAACAAUUAUAAAACAUGACAACUUAUAAAAGACUUUGAUAUUAAAAAGACUUUGGUAUUAAAAAAGCAACCCUGUGUUUGGAUGAAUCUAAUAUGAAGUGUUUGU